rnacentral:rRNA from 1 species
UCCUACGGGAGGCAGCAGUGAGGAAUAUUGCGCAAUGGGGGCAACCCUGACGCAGCGACGCCGCGUGAGUGAGGGAGGCCUUCGGGUCGUAAAGCUCUGUCAGGAGGAGAGAAGUGCAUAGCGGUUAAUACCCGUUGUGUUUGACGGUACCUCUAAAGGAAGCACCGGCUAACUCCGUGCCAGCAGCCGCGGUAAU